AUAAGCAUGCUGCGGGUUUUUCUUCCCAAGAUGGAGUACCUCGCAUUUUUUGGUGCUGAAGGCCAUCGGGUUUUCGUCCACCCAUUUUCCGAGCCUACCAUAUAAAUUGGUUUAA